rnacentral:rRNA from 1 species
UCGGCGGCAGGAGCGACGGCAGCGCGUUCGUUCGCGCGCGCGCGCGCCGUCACCAAGCCCCGACGAGUAGGAGGGUCGCGGCGGUGAGCGCAGAAGGGCUGGCCGCGAGGCCGUCUGGAGCCGCCGUCGGUGCAGAUCUUGGUGGUAGUAGCAAAUACUCCAGCGAGGCCCUGGAGGACUGACGUGGAGAAGGGUUUCGUGUGAACAGCCGUUGCACACGAGUCAGUCGAUCCUAAGCCCUAGGCGAAAGCCGAUGUCGAUGCGGUGUAGAUUUCGUGAUAAACACGUUCGUCGUCGUCGCCGUCGCCGUCGUCGUCGACGUCGUCGUCGGACACGUCGGACGGACAGACGGACAGACGGUCGGACGUGUGUCGGUAUACGAUCGAUCUAGCGCACACCCGUCGGGCGAAAGGGAAUCCGGUUCCUAUUCCGGAACCCGGCAG